rnacentral:lncRNA from 1 species
CUCAGAUCCAGCAGUGGGAAGAGCUUGCUAAGAGGAAGUGAGCUCUGUGGAUCAAAACUAACUCUGACUGGGGCUGCUCCUUACUGACCUGUAUGCAACUAGGGAACAAGUCUUUAAAAGGAGAGGAGCAGAAAGGAAGGCAGUGAACAGACAGACCUGGAAGCAAAGGGCAGGAGGGAACAGAAGAGAGCUUCCCAAGCCAUCUGCAAGCUGCUAUAAACCCAUCUACGUUUGAUGCUGGAGGGAAGCGGGCUGUACGCCUCUUGGUGCUGUCCCCAGCUGCUCGUGGAAGUCAGCGCUGCUUCGUUUGGGUUUUGCUGCCGUGUUUCCCACAGCGUGAGAGCUGUCUCAGCCGCCGCUGGGCGCCGGGUAUGUCGAGGGGCUUCAGCGGGUGGUGGGAG